CCCUUAGAUGUUCUGGGCCACACGCGCGCUACACUGAUUCAUGCAACAAGUUUUGUCCUUGGCUGAUAGGCCUGGGUAAUCUUUGAACGUGAAUCGUGAUGGGGAUAGAUGAUUGCAAUUAUUCAUCUUCAACGAGGAAUUCCUAGUAAACGCAAGUCAUCAGCUUGCAUUGAUUACGUCCCUGCCCUUUGUACACACCGCCCGUCGCACCUACCGAUUGAAUGGUCCGGUGAAAUCUUCGGAUCUGAGAGAUGUCUGAUUAAUUUCGGACGCCUUUUGGAAAAGUUGCUUAAACCUUACCAUUUAGAGGAAGGUGAANUCGUAACA
rnacentral:rRNA from 1 species